rnacentral:rRNA from 2 species
UCCUACGGGAGGCAGCAGUUCGUACGGGAGGCAGCAGGGGGGAAUUUUGAUCAAUGGAUGAAAGCCUGACGGAGCAAUCCCGCGGGAGGGAAGAAGGCUUUAGGGUUGUAAACCUCUUUUAUCAGGGAAGAAUUCAAUGACGGUACCUGAGGAAUAAGCAUCGGCUAACUCCGUGCCAGCAGCAGCGGUAAUAAGGAGGAGGCAAGCGUUAUCCGGAAUGAUUGGUGGUAAAGCGUCCGCAGGUGGCAAUUUAAGUCUGUUGUCAAAAAUCAGGGGUUUCCCCUGAAAAGGCAGUGGAAAGUGAAAUGCUGGAGUGCGGUAGGGGCAGAGGGAAUUCCCCGUGGAGCGGUGAAAUGCGUAGAGAUCGGGAAGAACACCAGUGGGGAAAGCGCUCCCCCCUCCUCAACUGACACUCUUGGACGAAAAAUAGUGGAGAGCAAGCGAUUUUAGAUACCAGUAGAGUUCACGGUAAACGAUGGAUACUAGGCGUUGAGAGGAUCGACCCUCUCAGUGUCGCAGCUAACGCGUGAAGUAGACCGCCUGGGAGAACUUAAUGCCG